rnacentral:rRNA from 1 species
AGGGUUCGAUUAUGGCUCAGGACGAACGCUGGCGGCGUGCCUAACACAUGCAAGUCGAACGGAGCACCCCGUUCGGAGGCUUCGGCCAAAGAAUGGGAAUGCUUAGUGGCAGACGGGUGAGUAACGCGUGAGUAACCUGCCCUUAAGAGGGGGAUAACACAUCGAAAGGUGUGCUAAUACCGCAUAAUAUGUAUUUGCCGCAUGACAGAUACAUCAAAGAUUUAUUGCUUAAGGAUGGACUCGCGUCUGAUUAGAUAGUUGGCGGGGUAACGGCCCACCAAGUCGACGAUCAGUAGCCGGACUGAGAGGUUGAACGGCCACAUUGGGACUGAGACACGGCCCAG